UUUCAAUUGAGCGUUCUCUAAUUAUAGAGACCACUCGCGCUCUCUUCAGUUUUUGCAAUAGUGUGGUGAGAGUGCGUAUAUUCUCCCCUAUCGUACGCCUUUUACAAUCUAAUACUUCAGUAUGGUGGAAGCAUUUCAAUUUGACGGAAGUAAAUAUUAAAGUGUUCGAUUUUCAAUAAGACCAAUUGGAUUUUGAGAUAUCAAGGAAUGCGUCAUACAAUUAUAGUUGACCUUAAAGUAUGAAGUCUCUUUUGUCUACUCAGUUUUACGCCUCUUUGGUGAAAAAAUUGGAAAAAGAGAAAUAAUAAAGCCAAAAAUACUGGAUUUAUUUCAAUAUAAACAUCUCAGAGAUCGGAAGAGAAAGAAAAUAUACACGUGCGAAUAUCUUGGAGAGCAACCGUCGGAUAAGCUCGUAAACUCAAACUUCUGUAUGCUUGGAAGAUUUUACGCAAACAAUUUAAAAAUGGUAACGGAACUCCAAAGUUUUUCAACUUAUUCCUUAUGUAUUUUUAUUGUUAUAUGCGGGUGUGCGCUAUAUCCACUGUGUUCGAAAUGUGCACAAAUAUGUGGUACCAGAAACCAUACCCGAGCAACGAAUUUGGCAGCCGAUAAUCCGCCUACCGCCCCACUGACUAAAAGACAAGAAGACUUACCACCAUCAUACAGUGAUAUUUUUCCAGAAGAAAUUCCGUAAGGAUAGUUUCACUCGAAGAAGCGGGUAUUAUUUCUUUAAGCGAAAAUAUUUAAGGGCUGCCAAAUCAAUGAUAUAUAAUAAAUAUAUAUUUAAAUAAACUACCUAAUAAUCUUAAAAUAUUAGAAGUUAUUGUUUUUUUGUGAUGAAAUUAUACCCUCUACUACAAGCAGUAUAUAUUGAAAAGAAUAUUGCAUUCGUUGAAAAUGUUCAUUCGACAGAUUGGCGCGUUUUUGACCCUAAGAAAUAUACAUAUUCUGGAGGUUAAUAGCCAAGUUAUUUUAAUAAUAGAAAAGACUAAGCAGCAAAGCUUGAUUUUUCGUAAGGCGUCCACGACUACACAAAAUGUAAUAUUAAUCCGAAAAAUGUUCAAAAGUUAAAUUUUUCAGGUCUUUAAUGACAAUUAAUAAUGAAUCAAAUUAUUCCACGAGGAAUAACACUCUGCAUUCCAACCAUUUCUUGCUUUGCGCUAUGCCAAAAUACUAUUUUUUUGCCAAUAAAUAUAAAAAAUAGAAUACCUAUUGGAAAGAGUUGUUUACAGCCAAGAAAACUUGUAAACCUUUUUAAACAAACUCUUUAACCGAGCGUUCUUUAAUAACAGAGACCACUGUGUAAAACGGCUCGCGCUCUCUUUGUUUUUGUAAAAGUGUGGUGAGAGUGCGUAUAUACCCCCCUAUCUUACGCAUUGUACAAUCUGAUACUUCAGUAUGGUGGAAGCAUUUCAAUUCGACGGAAGUAAAUAUUAAAGUGUUCGAUUUUCAAUUGAUUAAGUUUUUGUUUAUUAACGUUUAUUAGUUUUGCCUGAUCAUUUGGAUUUAGAAAUAGAACGGAAUGCGUGAUAAAAUUGUAUCUCAUUUGCCUCUUUGGUAAACUGUAAGAAAAAUUGCUGGAUGGAUUUAAAAUAAAUAAAAAUAACAAAACUGACAUUAUGACAUUAGACCGCUGUGUAGAACGGCUCGCGCUCUCUUUAGUUUGUGUAAUAGUGUGGUGAGAGUGCGAAUAUUCUCUCCUAUCAUACGCAUUAUACAAUCUGAUACUUUAGUAAGGUGGAAGCAUUUCAAUUCGACGGAAGUACAAAUUUAAGUGUUCGAUUUAAGAUCAAUUGGAUUUUGAGCUAUCAAGCAUAGCUAUCAAUGUAUAGUAGAACUCGAAAUACGCGGUCUCAUUUGCCUACUCAGCUUUACCUCUCUUUGGAUAAUAAACUGGAAAAAAUGAAAUAGUGCAAUCCAGAAUAGCUCGAUUUAAAAUUAAGGAACUAUUUUGCUGACAAAAAUAAAACUAAACUAAAACUUUGAGCUUUAACCAACCAUUAAAAAACGCGUAUCUCUCUAAAACACCUUAAGAGAAUAGAAGAGAAAGUUAAUAUACACGUGCGAAUAUCUUGGAGAGCAACCGUCUGAUAAGCUCGUAAACUCAAACUUCUGUAUGCUUGGAAGAUUUUACAUCAACAAUUUUUAAAAUGGGAGAAGAAUUGGAAUUUUUUUAAAUUUUAUGAUGUUGUUUUUAAUACUUAUGUUCGCAUGUGCUGUACGUUCACUGUGUUGCAAGUGUGAACAAAAUGCCAAUUCCGAAUCACGUCCAACCCAGAAUGCCGCAUCAAAUCAAUCACGGAAUUUUAGAUCAGAUGAAUCCCGUAAUUUUAGAUCAGAUGAAUCCCGUAAUUUUAGAUCAGAAGAAUCCCGGAAUCUCAGAUCAGAUGAAAUCCCAAAUUCCUUUUCAGAAGAAUUCCUAAAUUAUAGAUCAGAGGUAUUGCGGACCCUCGGACCAUUCCAGAACUCACGAUCAGAUGAAUUCCAAAAUUUCAGAUCAAAUGUACUUCGGACUUUAGGACUAGAUCCAUUCGCAUCAUAUGAAGAAUAUAACAACCAUAACCCUGCAACCAAUCCCGAUACCAACAACCAUAACAAUGCAACCACUCCGGAUAUCAACAACCAAAACCGUACAACAAAUUCGGCAGCCGAUUUCCAACCUACUGCGCCGCCGACCGAACCACAAGAAGACUUACCACCGUCCUAUAGCGCACUAUUUUCAAAUCAGACUCCGUAAAAAAGUUUUGUUAGAAGAAGAUUAUUAUAUGAAAGAACUGCUAGCCAAAUGAAUUAAAUAAAAUUAAAUGUUUAAUUAUA